AGUUCAACAAGUAUUUGUUAUUAGAGAACAAGUAACACAGUUAGUGGUGUAGGGAAGCAAACGAAUGUAACACCAAGACCAAUUGAAAGUCCUCAACAAGUAGAGAUGCACACAUGUUUCAAUCAUUUGAGAUACCCUUUUGUAGAAGUAUUUGGAAGAUAACUAUUAAUAAUUUCAUUUGUAAAGAUACGAUUUGUAAAAAAGUAUAUACAAAGUGGUUUUGCUGGUAUUAAAUAAAUAAAUAAAAAUAC
rnacentral:lncRNA from 1 species